rnacentral:misc_RNA from 1 species
GAUGAACAAUUUGAGGAGUCUAAAAUGAAUACAUUCUCAACCUCCAGGCUUAAAGCAACGCUCCAUAACUUAAUUCCAUCUCUUAUGGCCAGCAUUUCUUCUAACAAUCACGAUUUCAAAGGAUUUUCAGAUAUCGAUAGCCUUUAUAGCAAAGGGCUACUUUUGAAGCUUGGUCUUCAGGAUGAAGUCUUAAAAAAGCUUCCAUUGCCUAAGGUUGUUAGCACUAUCAAAGAAGGAGAUCUUCUCAAAUACGACACGCCAAAGAUACUAUCAAAGGACAAAUUUGCCUGGUUACGAGAUGAUGAAUUUGCUCGACAAGCAAUAGCAGGAGUGAACCCAGUGUCUAUCGAAAAGCUUCAGGUUUUUCCACCAGUAAGCAAGCUUGAUCCUGAAAUCUAUGGCCCUCAAGAAUCCGCCCUCAAGGAGGAGCACAUUCUUGGUCAUCUCAAUGGCAUGACUGUUCAAGAGGCUUUGGAUGCAAAUAAGCUUUUCAUUCUGGAUCAUCAUGAUGUAUAUCUACCAUUUCUCGAUCGGAUCAAUGCACUUGAUGGCCGCAAAGCAUAUGCAACACGCACCAUUUAUUUCUUGUCUGAUGUUGGCACACUUAAGCCCAUUGCCAUUGAACUUAGCCUCCCCCAGACUGGUCCAAGUUCACGAUCCAAACGUGUUGUCACUCCGCCUGUUUGUGCCACUGGUAACUGGAUGUGGCAGAUCGCUAAAGCACACGUCUGUGCUAAUGAUGCUGGAGUUCACCAACUCGUCAACCACUGGUUGCGUACACAUGCAAGCUUGGAACCAUUUAUAUUGGCAGCACAUAGGCAGUUAAGCGCGAUGCAUCCUAUUUAUAAGCUUUUGGAUCCACAUAUGAG